AGCUGUACGAGUAGUACUUGGAGGCCUGAGGGGUUUACUCUGGCUCUACGCCUUACAGAAACGGUGACUGGAGCAGAUUGAAAGCAGUUUUACACCCAGGCUAAUGGACGCGCACUCUACCCUUCCCUCCAACUUCAGGAACAGCGUAACAACACGUACUGCUGUGCUGAUUUCCCGCCCCUUCAAGUCCCAUCCUGCACCGCUCCGUCCAGAGCUAGAGCUUAAACAACAAACUUGGAGUCUGCAGGCAGGCAGCUGAUUGUGAUCGUCCCUGUCUUUCCAGCUGGGUACUCGGUGUUCUGAAAUCUUGAAAUGGAAAAGGAAGAACGGCCCUUUAUCCCCACUGCACUCCAGUCUCGGGCGCAACAGUCCAUGGUUAACCAUGCGCAACUGGUGUACAUCUCCGUUUGUACGGCUUUUUUCUUUCUGUACUUCACAUAGAAAUGCUAAGAUUUUAAGGAACCAAAUGACUAACUUCUAGAGCAACAGUGGAGUGGUGAACACUAUUUGGGUGUCAACUAAUUCAGCACUUUAGCAGACAUUGCCAAACUGUUAUAGCACAAUCCAUACUUCACAGCACUGCUCCAGACAGCCACUACUAACUGACUAGAUAUGGCUAGAAUUGCUGAGAGUCAGAGUGUGCUGUAGGAUCAAUCACAUUGAAUGCAACCUCUUACUUUCAAUAUUAAUUUUUUAAAUGAAAUCUUCAUAAUCAGACCAUCAAAGAGUAAAGGAAGAAUACUUGGGUCUGGAAUCAAGAGUUGGAAAUCAAGUGUUGGCUCCAGAUAUUGUCAUUGUCAGUGAUCCACUUGGGGAUCCAACUGUGGGCUCUGAGGGUUUAAAAGUGUUGGUUUUCAGGGGCCCACAUUGUGGAAUAGCGGGUGAAGCUGUUGCCUGUGAUACCAGCAACCCAUAUGGGCACCAGUUCAAGUCCUUGCUGCUGCACUUCUGAUCCAGCUCCCUGCUAAUGCAUCUGGGAAAGUAGUGGAAGUUGGGCUUCUGCACUCAAGGGGGAGACAUGGAUGAAGCUUCUGGCUCCUAGCUUUGGCCUGGCCCAUCCUUAGCCGUUGAGGACAUCUGGAGAAUGAACCAGCGAUUAGAAGUACGCUUGCUCUCUCUCUGUCUCUUCCUCUCUUUCCCUGUGUCCCUCUGUAACUCUUUCUAACAAACAAACAAACAAACAAACCUAGAGCUCAUGCUGUGGCGCAGCAGGUUAAAGCCCUGGUCUGCAGCGCCGGCAUUCCAUUUGGGCACCGAUUCGAGUCCUGGCUGUUCCACUUCUGAUCCAGCUCCCUGCUAAUGCACCUGGGAAAGCAGCAGAGGAUGGCCCAAGUCCUUGGGCCCCUGAACCCACAUGGGAGACCCGGAAGAAGCUCCUGAUUUCAGAUUAGCUCAGCUCUGACCAUUGCAGCCAUUUGGGGAGUGAACCAGUAGAUGGAAGACCUUUCUCUCUGUAUCUACCUCUCUCUGUAACUCUUUUAAAUAAAUAAAAUAUAUCUAAAAAUAAAUAAA